rnacentral:misc_RNA from 1 species
GAAGAUUCCAAAGGAAUUGGGGAAGUUAACAUUGUUUGUACUUUCUCUUGAUGAUAACGAACUUUCAGGUGGCAUUCCUGAAGAAAUUGGAUUGUUAUCUGAUCUUGAGCGUCUUAACUUGGCAGCUAACAAUCUAAGUGGAGCAAUUCCCAAACAGCUUGGAGAUUGCUCAAAGCUAUUGUUGUUGAAUCUCAGCAAGAACAAAUUGGCAGAGAGUAUUCCUUUAGAGUUGGGCAAUUUACGCUCUCUUGAGAGUCUUGCUCUUAGUCAAAAUUUGCUAACAGCAGAGAUACCACCACAACUGGG